AACCGCGAGGAGGUCGACCUGGUUGAAUAUAUUGCUAGCAAUGGGAUUCUUAGUAUCCAUUACUAACAAUCCCUUUUCCCGCCCAAAGUGAUAUACUAGCGCCAUAUUGGCAAUAAAGAUUUUACAAACACUGAUAAUUCAUGUAAAUCGAUAAUCAGAAAUUCUUAUUUUACGGCGUCAACACAAAUCCAAUUCUAGUUUCUUAAGAAAUGUCAAAUAUGCUUUUAAAUGUAGUCCACAGGAAAAUCAGGGCUUUACCAGAGCAAAUAGAUACAGUUUAGGAUCAUCAACCAAGCCACUAAUAGGUUUUCAUAAAUAGCAACAAUACAGAUAAAACGCGUGCAGCGCCAUGCUUGGGCCCUGUAUUGUUCCAAAGCAAAAACAGGAAUUAUUAAAAAAAAUAUAAAAAAAUAAAAGGAAUGAAAAAAUAAUAAUGAAGAAUGAAGAAUGAAAUACAAAAUAAAAAUCAAAUGGCAAUCGAAACGAAAGCUAUCAUCAUCAGAUACGCAAUAUCAGCGAUAUUUCUGCGCUUUUCGAGUGGAAGAAUGUGGUGUUCUUCACAGAAUUCAAGACAGUUUGAAGAAUCAUACCUAUUAUGUAAUCCAUAAGCUAAAAAAAUAAUAAAAAAUUUCUGGAUAUUUUCAA